rnacentral:rRNA from 1 species
GACGAACCGUGCGAACGUUGUUCGGAAUCACUGGGCUUAAAGGGCGCGUAGGCGGGCAAGCAAGUCCGGGGUGAAAGCCCCCAGCUCAACUGGGGAAGUGCCUUGGAAACUGCUUGUCUCGAGGGAGGUAGGGGCAUGUGGAACUUCGGGUGGAGCGGUGAAAUGCGUUGAUAUCCGAAGGAACGCCGGUGGCGAAAGCGACGUGCUGGAUCUCUUCUGACGCUGAGGCGCGAAAGCUAGGGGAGCAAACGGG